rnacentral:rRNA from 1 species
AUGCAGGAGGGGUGCGACAACAACACAGUGAUGCCUCCAAGAAGGUCAAGGACGCCCGCAGCCGUCGACACCGCUGGUCACAAGCCCAAGGCCGAGACAGGGUCUUCACCCAUGCUCCCAACAUCAGCCACAUAUCAACCCGGACCGGCGCAGGCAAGCCCACCAAUGAAGAAGCCUAUCGAUGAAGGAGCACAGAGAAGCCGCCGCAGCCAACCGCACCUUGCUGAGACCACCGGCGGCCAAUCACCAGCACCACCCACCGGAUCCAUCAACUACCAACCAGAACCAGGGCCAUCGGACAUAGCAUGA